rnacentral:rRNA from 1 species
UUAAGCGACUAAGCGUACACGGUGGAUGCCCUGGCAGUCAGAGGCGAUGAAGGACGUGCUAAUCUGCGAUAAGCGUCGGUAAGGUGAUAUGAACCGUUAUAACCGGCGAUUUCCGAAUGGGGAAACCCAGUGUGAUUCGUCACACUAUCAUUAACUGAAUCCAUAGGUUAAUGAGGCGAACCGGGGGAACUGAAACAUCUAAGUACCCCGAGGAAAAGAAAUCAACCGAGAUUCCCCCAGUAGCGGCGAGCGAACGGGGAGCAGCCCAGAGCCUGAAUCAGUGUGUGUGUUAGUGGAAGCGUCUGGAAAGGCGCGCGAUACAGGGUGACAGCCCCGUACACAAAAAUGCACAUGCUGUGAGCUCGAUGAGUAGGGCGGGACACGUGGUAUCCUGUCUGAAUAUGGGGGGACCAUCCUCCAAGGCUAAAUACUCCUGACUGACCGAUAGUGAACCAGUACCGUGAGGGAAAGGCGAAAAGAACCCCGGCGAGGGGAGUGAAAAAGAACCUGAAACCGUGUACGUACAAGCAGUGGGAGCAUGCUUAGGCGUGUGACUGCGUACCUUUUGUAUAAUGGGUCAGCGACUUAUAUUCUGUAGCAAGGUUAACCGAAUAGGGGAGCCGAAGGGAAACCGAGUCUUAACUGGGCGUUAAGUUGCAGGGUAUAGACCCGAAACCCGGUGAUCUAGCCAUGGGCAGGUUGAAGGUUGGGUAACACUAACUGGAGGACCGAACCGACUAAUGUUGAAAAAUUAGCGGAUGACUUGUGGCUGGGGGUGAAAGGCCAAUCAAACCGGGAGAUAGCUGGUUCUCCCCGAAAGCUAUUUAGGUAGCGCCUCGUGAAUUCAUCUCCGGGGGUAGAGCACUGUUUCGGCAAGGGGGUCAUCCCGACUUACCAACCCGAUGCAAACUGCGAAUACCGGAGAAUGUUAUCACGGGAGACACACGGCGGGUGCUAACGUCCGUCGUGAAGAGGGAAACAACCCAGACCGCCAGCUAAGGUCCCAAAGUCAUGGUUAAGUGGGAAACGAUGUGGGAAGGCCCAGACAGCCAGGAUGUUGGCUUAGAAGCAGCCAUCAUUUAAAGAAAGCGUAAUAGCUCACUGGUCGAGUCGGCCUGCGCGGAAGAUGUAACGGGGCUAAACCAUGCACCGAAGCUGCGGCAGCGACACUAUGUGUUGUUGGGUAGGGGAGCGUUCUGUAAGCCUGUGAAGGUGUGCUGUGAGGCAUGCUGGAGGUAUCAGAAGUGCGAAUGCUGACAUAAGUAACGAUAAAGCGGGUGAAAAGCCCGCUCGCCGGAAGACCAAGGGUUCCUGUCCAACGUUAAUCGGGGCAGGGUGAGUCGACCCCUAAGGCGAGGCCGAAAGGCGUAGUCGAUGGGAAACAGGUUAAUAUUCCUGUACUUGGUGUUACUGCGAAGGGGGGACGGAGAAGGCUAUGUUGGCCGGGCGACGGUUGUCCCGGUUUAAGCGUGUAGGCUGGUUUUCCAGGCAAAUCCGGAAAAUCAAGGCUGAGGCGUGAUGACGAGGCACUACGGUGCUGAAGCAACAAAUGCCCUGCUUCCAGGAAAAGCCUCUAAGCAUCAGGUAACAUCAAAUCGUACCCCAAACCGACACAGGUGGUCAGGUAGAGAAUACCAAGGCGCUUGAGAGAACUCGGGUGAAGGAACUAGGCAAAAUGGUGCCGUAACUUCGGGAGAAGGCACGCUGAUAUGUAGGUGAAGCGACUUGCUCGUGGAGCUGAAAUCAGUCGAAGAUACCAGCUGGCUGCAACUGUUUAUUAAAAACACAGCACUGUGCAAACACGAAAGUGGACGUAUACGGUGUGACGCCUGCCCGGUGCCGGAAGGUUAAUUGAUGGGGUCAGCGCAAGCGAAGCUCUUGAUCGAAGCCCCGGUAAACGGCGGCCGUAACUAUAACGGUCCUAAGGUAGCGAAAUUCCUUGUCGGGU